GAGUAACACGUGGGUGAUCUGCCCUGCACUUUGGGAUAAGCCUGGGAAACUGGGUCUAAUACCGAAUAUGACCAUGCACUUCCUGGUGUGUGGUGGAAAGCUUUUGCGGUGUGGGAUGGGCCCGCGGCCUAUCAGCUUGUUGGUGGGGUAAUGGCCUACCAAGGCGACGACGGGUAGCCGGCCUGAGAGGGUGACCGGCCACACUGGGACUGAGAUACGGCCCAGACUCCUACGGGAGGCAGCAGUGGGGAAUAUUGCACAAUGGGCGCAAGCCUGAUGCAGCGACGCCGCGUGAGGGAUGACGGCCUUCGGGUUGUAAACCUCUUUCAAUAGGGACGAAGCGCAAGUGACGGUACCUAUAGAAGAAGGACCGGCCAACUACGUGC
rnacentral:rRNA from 1 species